GGAUAUAGCUCAGUUGGUAGAGUACUUGCCUAAUAUUUGCAAAGCCCUGGGUUCAAUCCCCAGCACCA
rnacentral:tRNA from 1 species